rnacentral:rRNA from 1 species
AGAGUUUGAUCCUGGCUCAGGAUGAACGCUAGCGGCAGGCCUAACACAUGCAAGUCGAGGGGCAUCACGAGGUAGCAAUACUUUGGUGGCGACCGGCGCACGGGUGCGUAACGCGUAUGUAACCUACCUAUAACAGGGGCAUAACACUGAGAAAUUGGUACUAAUUCCCCAUAAUAUUCGGAGAGGCAUCUCUCCGGGUUGAAAACUCCGGUGGUUAUAGAUGGACAUGCGUUGUAUUAGCUAGUUGGUGAGGUAACGGCUCACCAAGGCAACGAUACAUAGGGGGACUGAGAGGUUAACCCCCCACAUUGGUACUGAGACACGGACCAAACUCCUACGGGAGGCAGCAGUGAGGAAUAUUGGUCAAUGGACGCAAGUCUGAACCAGCCAUGCCGCGUGCAGGAAGACGGCUCUAUGAGUUGUAAACUGCUUUUGUACGAGGGUAAACUCACCUACGUGUAGGUGACUGAAAGUAUCGUACGAAUAAGGAUCGGCUAACUCCGUGCCAGCAGCCGCGGUAAUACGGAGGAUCCGAGCGUUAUCCGGAUUUAUUGGGUUUAAAGGGAGCGUAGGCGGACGCUUAAGUCAGUUGUGAAAGUUUGCGGCUCAACCGUAAAAUUGCAGUUGAUACUGGGUGUCUUGAGUACAGUAGAGGCAGGCGGAAUUCGUGGUGUAGCGGUGAAAUGCUUAGAUAUCACGAAGAACUCCGAUUGCGAAGGCAGCUUACUGGACUGUAACUGACGCUGAUGCUCGAAAGUGUGGGUAUCAAACAGGAUUAGAUACCCUGGUAGUCCACACAGUAAACGAUGAAUACUCGCUGUUUGCGAUAUACAGUAAGCGGCCAAGCGAAAGCGUUAAGUAUUCCACCUGGGGAGUACGCCGGCAACGGUGAAACUCAAAGGAAUUGACGGGGGC